CCUACGGGAGGCAGCAGUGAGGAAUAUUGGUCAAUGGACGAGAGUCUGAACCAGCCAAGUAGCGUGAAGGAUGACUGCCCUAUGGGUUGUAAACUUCUUUUAUAUGGGAAUAAAACGUUCCACGUGUGGGAUUUUGUAUGUACCAUAUGAAUAAGGAUCGGCUAACUCCGUGCCAGCAACCGCGGUAAUACGGAGGAUCCGGGCGUUAUCCGGAUUUUUUGGGUUUAAAGGGAGCGUAGGUGGAUUGUUAAGUGAGUUGUGAAAUUUUGGAGCUGAACCGGUAAAUUGCAUAUAAAACUGGCGAUCUAGAGAACAGAAGAGGUAGGCGGAAUGUAUGGUGUAGCGGUGAAAUGCUUAGAAAUCACGAAGAACUCCGAUUGCGAAGGCAGUUCACUGAUCUAUAACUGACGCUGAGGCUCGAAAGUGUGGGUAUCAAACAGGAUUAGAUACCCUAGUAGUC
rnacentral:rRNA from 1 species